GACGAACGCUGGCGGCGUGCUUAACACAUGCAAGUCGAACGGAAAGGCCCUGCUUUUGUGGGGUGCUCGAGUGGCGAACGGGUGAGUAACACGUGAGUAACCUGCCCUUGACUUUGGGAUAACUUCAGGAAACUGGGGCUAAUACCGGAUAGGAGCUCCUGCUGCAUGGUGGGGGUUGGAAAGUUUCGGCGGUUGGGGAUGGACUCGCGGCUUAUCAGCUUGUUGGUGGGGUAGUGGCUUACCAAGGCUUUGACGGGUAGCCGGCCUGAGAGGGUGACCGGCCACAUUGGGACUGAGAUACGGCCCAGACUCCUACGGGAGGCAGCAGUGGGGAAUAUUGCACAAUGGGCGGAAGCCUGAUGCAGCAACGCCGCGUGCGGGAUGACGGCCUUCGGGUUGUAAACCGCUUUCGCCUGUGACGAAGCGUGAGUGACGGUAAUGGGUAAAGAAGCACCGGCUAACUACGUGCCAGCAGCCGCGGUGAUACGUAGGGUGCGAGCGUUGUCCGGAUUUAUUGGGCGUAAAGGGCUCGUAGGUGGUUGAUCGCGUCGGAAGUGUAAUCUUGGGGCUUAACCCUGAGCGUGCUUUCGAUACGGGUUGACUUGAGGAAGGUAGGGGAGAAUGGAAUUCCUAGUGGAGCGGUGGAAUGCGCAGAUAUCAGGAGGAACACCAGUGGCGAAGGCGGUUCUCUGGGCCUUUCCUGACGCUGAGGAGCGAAAGCGUGGGGAGCGAACAGGCUUAGAUACCCUGGUAGUCCACGCUGUAAACGGUGGGUACUAGGUGUGGGGUCCAUUCCACGGGUUCCGUGCCGUAGCUAACGCUUUAAGUACCCCGCCUGGGGAGUACGGCCGCAAGGCUAAAACUCAAAGGAAUUGACGGGGCCCCGCACAAGCGGCGGAGCAUGCGGAUUAAUUCGAUGCAACGCGUAGAACCUUACCUGGGUUUGACAUGGAUCGGGAGCGCUCAGAGAUGGGUGUGCCUCUUUUGGGGUCGGUUCACAGGUGGUGCAUGGCUGUCGUCAGCUCGUGUCGUGAGAUGUUGGGUUAAGUCCCGCAACGAGCGCAACCCUUGUUCACUGUUGCCAGCACGUUAUGGUGGGGACUCAGUGGAGACCGCCGGGGUCAACUCGGAGGAAGGUGGGGAUGACGUCAAGUCAUCAUGCCCCUUAUGUCCAGGGCUUCACGCAUGCUACAAUGGCUGGUACAGAGAGUGGCGAGCCUGUGAGGGUGAGCGAAUCUCGGAAAGCCGGUCUCAGUUCGGAUUGGGGUCUGCAACUCGACCUCAUGAAGUCGGAGUCGCUAGUAAUCGCAGAUCAGCAACGCUGCGGUGAAUACGUUCCCGGGGCU
rnacentral:rRNA from 1 species